UUUCAUUUCACGUUAUUUUGCAUCUUGUGGUUAGUGUACCAGCAUGUUUGUAUUUAGCCACAUUCGAGUGGCGUGUUCUUCCAGUUGGCUCUGUGCCAUCCCCUAAGGCCUAUUCAAAGGUGGAGAGAAAAUUAAUGUGUAUGUGCAGCUGAGGGGGGAAAAAACUUCCCUAAAGGGUGUGAUAUGUGUUUAGGAUUGCUUAGUGAGAGCUGUUUGGCAUCUCAAAUUAUGGGUAUGACAGAUGUUUACUAAUGCACGGAAGACCCUCUCACAGCCUCAGUAUAGUAUUUUUAAUUCCCGAGGGUGUGCAGAUUAGCCAGAAGCAUCAAUUUAUAUAAACAUCAAAUAAUGUUUCUGAAAUAAGUCACAUAUGCCUUUUUAUUUUAUUUUUUUUUUUUAUUUUUUUGAGACGGAGGCUCUCUCUGUCGCCCAGGCUGGAGUGCAGUGGUGCGAUCUCUGCUCACUGCAAGCUCCGCCUCCCAGGUUCACACCGUUCUCCUGCCUCAGCCUCCCUAGUAGCUGGGACUACAGGCACCCAUCACCACGCCCGGCUAAUUUUUUUGUAUUUUUAGUAGAGACGGGGUUUCACCGUGUUAGCCAGGAUGGUCUCGAUCUCCUGACCUCGUGAUCCGCCCACCUCGGUCUCCCAAAGUGCUGGGAUUACAGGUGUGAGCCACCACGCCUGGCUUUUUUUUUUCUUUUUCUUUUAAGAGACAUCAUUCUGUCACCCAGGCCAGGGUGUAAUAGCAUAAUCAUGGCUCACUGCAACCUCAACCUCGUGGGCUUAAGCAGUCCUGCUGCCUCAGCCUCCCAAGUAGCUGAGAUUAGAGGUGCCUGCCAUUGUACCUGUCUUUAAAUAUCUUUUCGGGAAGAAAAAUACCACAAAUUGGCCAGGCAUGGUGGCUCACGCCUGUAAUCACAGCACUUCGAUAGGCUGAGGUGCACAGAUCACUUGAGGUCAGGAGUUUGAGACCAGCCUGGCCAACAUGGUGAAAUCCCGUCUGUGCUGAAAAUACAAAAAUUAGCCAGGCGUGGUGGUGCGUGCCUGUAAUCUCAGCUGCUCAGGAGGCUGAGGCAGGAGAAUUGCUUGAACCCAGGAGUGGAGGUUGCAGUGAGCCAAGAUCGAGUCACCGCACUCCAGCCUGGGCAACAGAGCAAAACUCUGUCUCAAAAAAUAAAAUAAAGUGGCCGGGCAUGUUGGCUCAUGCCUGUAAUCCCAGCACUUUGGGAGGCCAAGGCGGGUGGAUCACCUGAGGUUAGGAGUUCGAGACCAGCCUGACCAAUGUGGUAAAAUCCUGUCUCUACUAAAAAUACAAAAAUUAACUGGGCAUGGUGGUGUGUGCCUGUAAUCCCAGCUACUGGGGAGGCUGAGACAGGAGAAUUGCUUGCACCAGGGAGGCAGAGGUUGCAGUGAGCUGAGAUUGCGCCACUGCAGUCUGGCCUGGGCGACAGAAUGAGACUCCGUCUCAAAAAAAAAAGAAAAGAAAAAAACCACAAAUGUAAAACACCAAAUAUUUAUCAUUCUUUAUUCUAUUUCUCCAACCACAGCCUCCCACGUAGCUAGGACUAGAGGCACACACGGGCAUGCCCAGCUAACUUUUUUUUAGACUCAUCACGUUAAUCGUCACAGAUCCCAGAGCCAGACUUCCUGGGUUCAGAUCCCAUCACCGUCACUUGCCAACUCUGUCACCCUGGGACUUCACCUCUCCAUGUCUCAGUUUUCUUAUAGGUAAAAUAGAGAUGGUGAAGAUUGGUCUUAAACUCCAGGAGAUACGAAAGAGAUGGUGAAGGCUGGUCUUAAACUCCUGGUCACAAGCGAUCCUCCCGCCUCAGCCUCCCAAAGCACUGGUAUUACAGGCAUGAAUCACCGUGCCCAGCCAACUUUUCAGUUUCUAAUUCAGGUUUCUGUGUGCGCUCGGUCUGGUAUAACGUAUACUGAAUGGCACAGUUACUAGAAAGGCAUAUUUCCCAGGAUCAGUUCAUAAAUUGGCAUUCAAUCUAUAUAGCAAUCCCUGGUAAGGUCAUUUAGGGUGAGUCAGUCACUGAGAAAUUGAUCCCUCUAAUGUUCAGAACCUGGGGCAGAACUGGUCAUUGGAGGCAGUAAGAAGUCCAGGCUUUGUGGUCAGCUAGAACUAGAUUCAGAUCCUGGUUCCACUGCACACAAACCAUGAUGCCUCACCCUCCCCCAGCUUCAGUUUCCUUAGCCAUAAAGAUAGCAAUACUUACCUUGCAGAAUGAUUGUGAGUAUGAAAAGUAUAAUGUAUAUAAAGCUCUAGGUGUGCUAAAGAAGGCACUCAAGAAGUGAUAAUCCCUCCCUUGGGCCUUUGUCUUGUAGCCAGUUGACCUCCCUAGGUGAUGUCUCUUCUGUCUUUACGAAUGACCAAAUCUCCCAAUGUAUGUGCCUGCUUUAUUCUUUUUCUUUCUUCUGCUCAUAUAAUUCUCUGUAUGCUUCCAUUUAUUGACAUUGUUCCAUAGUUAUUUUUAAUGACUGCAGUGUGAUAUAGUAUACUGUACUUGGCUCUAGAGAAGAGCCAAGAAUCCAAUUUGGAUUCUUGUUCUGCAAUUCUGUCAGCUCUGCAACCUGGAAAAAGUCACUUUACCUCUCUGAACCUCUCUCUGUAUCUGUAAAAUGAGGGAAGCGGACUAUACAAUUCCUAAGGCUCCUCCUUUCCUGCCCUUGAGAGACUGCAACAGUCAAAGUCAGGUAGCCUACAGAGAGCUUGGUUUAGUCUGCUCAGCAGUUUUAAAACAUUAAGUUUGGGAUCCCUGCCA
rnacentral:lncRNA from 10 species